rnacentral:rRNA from 1 species
UACGUAGGGUGCGAGCGUUGUCCGGAAUUAUUGGGCGUAAAGAGCUCGUAGGCGGUGUGUCGCGUCGGCCGUGAAAACCUGGGGCUCAACUCUGGGCGUGCGGUCGAUACGGGCAUCACUUGAGUUCGGCAGGGGAGACUGGAAUUCCUGGUGUAGCGGUGAAAUGCGCAGAUAUCAGGAGGAACACCGGUGGCGAAGGCGGGUCUCUGGGCCGUAACUGACGCUGAGGAGCGAAAGCGUGGGGAGCGAACAGG